rnacentral:rRNA from 1 species
GAUGAACGCUAGCUACAGGCUUAACACAUGCAAGUCGAGGGGAAACGAUAGAGAAAGCUUGCUUUUUCUAGGCGUCGACCGGCGCACGGGUGAGUAACGCGUAUCCCACCUGCCCAUCACUUGGGGAUAACCUUGCGAAAGUAAGACUAAUACCCAAUGACGUCCAUAGAAGACAUCUGAAAGGGAUUAAAGAUUUAUCGGUGAUGGAUGGGGAUGCGUCUGAUUAGCGUGUUGGAGGGGUAACGGCCAACCAAGGCGACGAUCAGUAGGGGUUCUGAGAGGAGAGUACCCCACAUUGGAACUGAGACACGGUCCAAACUCCUACGGGAGGCAGCAGUGAGGAAUAUUGGUCAAUGGGCGAGAGCCUGAACCAGCCAAGUAGCGUGCAGGAAGACGGCCCUAUGGGUUGUAAACUGCUUUUAUAAGGGAAUAAAGUGAGCCUCGUGAGGCUUUUUGCAUGUACCUUAUGAAUAAGGACCGGCUAAUUCCGUGCCAGCAGCCGCGGUAA